rnacentral:rRNA from 1 species
UACGUAGGGCGCAAGCGUUGUCCGGAAUUAUUGGGCGUAAAGAGCUCGUAGGCGGUUUGUCGCGUCGGCUGUGAAAACCUGGGGCUUAACUCCGGGCCUGCAGCCGAUACGGGCAGACUAGAGUUCGGCAGGGGAGAAUGGAAUUCCUGGUGUAGCGGUGAAAUGCGCAGAUAUCAGGAGGAACACCGAUGGCGAAGGCAGGUCACUGGGCCGCAACUGACGCUGAGGAGCGAAAGCAUGGGGAGCGAACAGG